GGAGUCAUAACAUGAAGAAUAUCUCACUCUGUUACUCACAAAGGAACUGUUUUUAUCUCGGGAGAUAAUCAGUUUGGCGAGAACUGUCAUGCAUAACAGUCCACUGAAACCUGAGAGCUCAUCUUCCUGAUCUUGGAUUCGACGAGAGUAAACAUGUUGUGACCAUGAGGGAAGGUGGAGGACAUUUUGGGGCUGUGGACCAAGAGCGAGAACAGGUCUCCAGAGUUAAAUUUCAUGGCUAGCAUUACAAGAUCCAGUUGUAUCUCCUUCAGGUAAAGCUAUGCUAGGCAGAAGCAAUCCAUCUUAUGUCCAAAACAUUCUCUAAGAUACCAGAAGAUUCUCUUGUACAGAAAUCAAAUAUAUAGAACUAAGAAUUAACUGAAUUAACAACAGAUUUUUCUUGUUUGUGAUCAUUUUGUCAUAUCUUGACUGUCAUAAUGUGACACUUCAGACAGCUAAUGACACUCUGCAGUCAGACGUGCUCUUCACAGGUUUUCGUGUUAACUGGAGUGAGGUAUUACAGUAAUGUCUUUCUCUGAGACUAACAGACUGUGCAAAAAAGUUUACUGAUAAACACAAAAUAAAAUAAUAGCAUUUGUUAUUUCAUACAGUUUACAGGCCCAGGAGAAUCAGCAAUAAAUAAAUAAAUAAAUAAAAUAAAAAUAUUGAUAUUUAGUACAUUUAGAAUUUUAAUUAGAAAUUAUGAUUUAUAUAUUUAUGCACUUUUUAUAAACAGUACCAAUAAAGAGUACCAAUGUUUUGUUUUUGUUUUUUGUUCCAGGGUGCACAGAGCAGUAAAUAUGGCUGCAUAACUGACUUGAUAUAUGAACCUAAGUCUAAGUCACAUAUGAAAGAAUGGUCUUUACCUUUGAAAGACAGCAUCAGUUUUUAUAGCACAGUAGCCUCUGCCACACCCUCCCAAAUCCACCUGCUUUCCUUUAUAAUCCCAAUGAAGCUGGAACAUUUGCUCAAGAGUCCAUUCUCCAUGAGAUUAGCAUUACAUGACCUUCUGAUGUAAUGAAUGGAGUGAAACAACAUGAUGUUGUGGUACAUUCUGGAACUAAAUGUAGAAGCAGCUGCUCUUUUGUAUGUAACAUCAGUCAUAUUGUUUCCUUCUCUGUGCAAUUUUGAAUCAAUUCAAGUGCCUGUCAGAAAAGAGAAUGUUAACCCUGAACCUGGUUAUGUUUUCGAUAGUAAAGUGCUCCUUUUGUUGCGGGGCAUUUCGAAGUGGUGAAAUCAGACCCUCCAAGUCUGAUAUUUCCUGAAAAUGUCAGUGGGACAAGUCUGAAAAAGGAUACAGUUCCACAACUCACUCUACACUAACAUUUUACUACCUGGUCAUUCAAAGGUUGAUGAGUAGAUUCAUCAGUGUGAAGGAGAUGAGGUUUCACUGAAUGUUUCAUUGACUAGUGUAAGGUAACAAUACAAAUGACAGAGAGCCACCAGUCUGUCUCUGAAAUGAUGAGUAUAUUUAGCUUUAUGUUUGAGGUGGUGUUACAUCUUCUCAAACAAAUAAGCAAACGCAAGGAAUAUAAAGUAUACUGUUAAAAAAACAGUCACCCAACUUUGUAUUAUAUAUAGGGCCUACAUAAAAAAAGAAUGAAGAAUCAUCACAAUUAUUGCUGCACUUACACUGCCUGGACAGGAAAAAAAAAGUUGCUGUCUGGAUUU
ensembl:lncRNA